rnacentral:rRNA from 1 species
GGAUUAGAUACCCUGGUAGUCCAUGCCGUAAACGAUGAUCACUCGAUAUUGGCAUUUAUUGCCAGUGUCCAAGCGAAAGCAUUAAGUGAUCCACCUGGGGAGUACGAUCGCAAGGUUGAAACUCAAAGGAAUUGACGGGGGCCCGCACAAGCGGUGGAGCAUGUGGUUUAAUUCGAUGAUACGCGAGGAACCUUACCAAGGCUUAAAUGCAGAACGACUAAUCUGGAAACAGGUUUUUCUUCGGACGGUCUGCAAGGUGCUGCAUGGUCGUCGUCAGCUCGUGCCG